rnacentral:rRNA from 1 species
CUACGGGAGGCAGCAGUGGGGAAUAUUGGACAAUGGGCCACGAGCCUGAUCCAGCAAUUUCGUGUGAAUGAAGAAGGUCUUCGGAUUGUAAAGUUCUUUAGGCAGGGAAGAAGAAAGUGACGGUACCUGCAGAAUAAGCGACGGCUAAUUACGUGCCAGCAGCCGCGGUAAUACGUAAGUCGCGAGCGUGUAUUCGGAUUUACUGGGCGUAAAGGGCAUUUAGGCGGUUAAACAAGUUAGGGGUGAAAAGUUAAGGCUCAACCUUAAUCGGGCCUUUAAAACUGUUUAACUAGAGUUCGGAAGAGGAAGACAGAACUACAAGUGUAGCGGUGGAAUGCGUAGAUAUUUGUAGGAAUACCGAUAAUGAAGAUAGUUUUCUGGGACGAUACUGACGCUGAAGUGCGAAAGCUAGGGGAGCAAACAGGAUUAGAUACCCUAGUAGUC